GACGUAGGUGGCGAACGUUAUCCGGAAUUAUUGGGCGUAAAGGAUGCGUAGAUGGUGUAGUAAGUUAUCGGUGGUAAAUCGAGGCUCAACCUCGUGGAAGUCGGUAAUACUGCUAUGCUAGAGGAUAGGAGAGGUUAACGGAACUCCCUGUGGAGCGGUGAAAUGCGUAGAUAUAGGGAAGAACACCAAUAAGGCGAAGGCAGUUAACUAUUCUAUUCCUGACAUUGAGGCAUGAAAGCGUGGGGAGCAAACCGG
rnacentral:rRNA from 1 species